AUUGAACACUGGCGGAAUGCUUUACACAUGCAAGUCGAACGGCAGCACGGACUUCGGUCUGGUGGCGAGUGGCGAACGGGUGAGUAAUGUAUCGGAACGUGCCCAGUCGUGGGGGAUAACGUAGUGAAAAUUACGCUAAUACCGCAUACGAUCUAUGGAUGAAAGCGGGGGAUCGCAAGACCUCGCGCGAUUGGAGCGGCCGAUAUCAGAUUAGGUAGUUGGUGGGGUAAAGGCCCACCAAGCCAACGAUCUGUAGCUGGUCUGAGAGGACGACCAGCCACACUGGAACUGAGACACGGUCCAGACUCCUACGGGAGGCCGCAGUGGGGAAUUUUGGACAAUGGGCGAAAGCCUGAUCCAGCCAUUCCGCGUGCAGGAUGAAGGCCCUCGGGUUGUAAACUGCUUUUGUACAGAACGAAAAGGUUUCUACUAAUACUAGGAGCUCAUGACGGUACUGUAAGAAUAAGCACCGGCUAACUACGUGCCAGCCGCCGCGGUAA
rnacentral:rRNA from 1 species